GGCCAGAUGAUCAGGCCUAAAACGGUCAAUCACGGGGGCGAUGGUUAAGGCCCUAAAACAACCUA
rnacentral:ncRNA from 1 species